AUUCUGAUAAGUUUAAGGAAAUAUCUGAGCAGGCAAAGAAAAAUAGAGCGUCUGAAGUUGGUGGCUGCAACUACGCAGCGGGAAGUAUUAGUGUGGCUGAAGUUGCGCGAAGGAUGCGUGAAGAAUUAGGCAGAACUCCACUUCUUAAUGAGCUCCACAUGGAGACUCAUCUCAAGAGAAAUGGAGAGUUUAUUGACGAGCGCGCAAAAAUCACUCAAGAGAAUUUUGAUAAAGAACUUGCCAUAAAGUUGUCAGAGCAUCCUGAAAUACCCGAACCACCACCGGGGUAUCCUGUUGACC